UACGUAGGGCGCAAGCGUUGUCCGGAAUUAUUGGGCGUAAAGAGCUCGUAGGCGGUGUGUCGCGUCGGCCGUGAAAACCUGGGGCUCAACUCUGGGCGUGCGGUCGAUACGGGCAGGCUAGAGUUCGGUAGGGGAGACUGAAAUUCCUGGUGUAGCGGUGAAAUGCGCAGAUAUCAGGAGGAACACCGGUGGCGAAGGCGGGUCUCUGGGCCGAUACUGACGCUGAGGAGCGAAAGCGUGGGGAGCGAACAGG
rnacentral:rRNA from 1 species